AGUAAUACUGCACUGGUAUGGGUAUGAGACUGGAGUCUUUUUACACAGGCUCUCUGUAUCCUUCUCUGGCUCAGUACGUCGACGGCGUACAAAACGUGAAUAACUCUCCAAAUAUCCGGGCUUUAAUAUAGGAGGCAAUACAAACCCUUCGAAGGGUGGGUGACAUGGCUGAAUUUUUGGAU
rnacentral:ribozyme from 1 species